GAUGAACGCUGGCGGCGUGCCUAAUACAUGCAAGUCGAGCGAACGGACGAGAAGCUUGCUUCUCUGAUGUUAGCGGCGGACGGGUGAGUAACACGUGGAUAACCUACCUAUAAGACUGGGAUAACUUCGGGAAACCGGAGCUAGUACCGGAUAAUAUUUUGAACCGCAUGGUUCAAAAGUGAAAGACGGUCUUGCUGUCACUUAUAGAUGGAUCCGCGCUGCAUUAGCUAGUUGGUAAGGUAACGGCUUACCAAGGCAACGAUGCAUAGCCGACCUGAGAGGGGGAUCGGCCACACGGGAACUGGGACACGGUCCAGACUCCUACGGGAGGCAGCAGUAGGGAAUCUGCCGCAAUGGGCGAAAGCCUGACGGAGCAACGCCGCGUGUGUGAUGAAGGUCUUCGGAUCGUAAAACUCUGUUAUUAGGGAAGAACAUAUGUGUAAGUAACUGUGCACAUCUUGACGGUACCUAAUCAGAAAGCCACGGCUAACUACGUG
rnacentral:rRNA from 1 species